ACCUGUAUAUAUGAUUACUUACUGUUUUUAUACCAAUGUUCUGUGAGGAAUGAUUUUGUCUCGUUUGAUGAAUUGACAAUCCACUCUUUGUUUGGAGAACUUUAUCAGAUGCACCCCACCGCACGUGUUUCUGCACGGUUUUUGUGAAUUUUGAAGACAGUGCAAAAUUAACACCCUAGUCUCUUGUCAGAUCUGUUAUUUUAGUCAAAAUAUAUUUAUUUAUUAAUUUGUUACGAUUUUUUGCUAUGUUUUUAUUGUGUAUAUUAUUUGUACAAGUGUUGAAGUGACAAUUUUCUGAUCGUUGUUGGAAUUACACAUUCCCUUUCCAUAAACAAAUGUUUUUUUACAGUAUCUCAUUCCAACUAAUUACCUUUUGUAAUUUUGUAAGUUUCUUGCAGUCAAGUGUUUUCAGAUUUAUUUUUGAUUUUAAAACUUGUUUACGGCAUUGUGAUAGCUUGGUGUAGGGAAAUUUGCCGUUUAUAUUCUUUAGAGUUUUUGUGUUAGAGUCGUAGACCAAAUAGUGUUGGAAAUGGCUUAUGGGAUUAGUCUCAAAUCACAAUGUUUAAAAUCAAACCCAGUUAUGUUGGGUAACUGUCUCUUUUAUCAUUCAGAGUGUGCUCUUUUUUUUUUUUAAUCAAACUUUGGAAAACAGGGAUUAUGACAAUUCACCAUGAAGAAAUGUCACAAACAUUUUUAGAAAUUUUGUGUGUGUGUUUUAAUUGCUGGAGUAACUCAGCAUUUAUAUACAAAGAAUUUCAUUAAACUAAAUAUGUAGAC
rnacentral:sRNA from 1 species